rnacentral:lncRNA from 1 species
GUGAAUGUUAACAAAGCUUCCAAAUUGUUAGUGUUUCAAGAUGGUUGUAAUCUUCAAAAACUAGGGUAUCAUCCAUUUUUGGUUGGUUAGAAGCUUUUAAAUGUUUGCCUCAAUUAAGUUAGGACAUUAUUAGUAGAAGAAGAUUAUAUCUGUUUGUUUAGGAUAGUAUCUUGCAUGUUAGUGAAGCAGACUUUGGUGAGUUGCAUAAUCAUAAUACACCCUUUCUACAAAUGGAAGAUGCAUAAGGACAUACCCUGCCACAAACAUUAGAUGUGCAAUUGACUCUCUCCUUUUGAUUUAUCUUGGAUGAAACUGGAUGUUGUCCAUGACACCACUUGACAGAUGUUAAUGUUAUUGCUGGUAUAUACAUGGCAGAUAAUCUGAUAUUUAAGAUGUGGUGUGCAAAUGUUCAACAUGACCGUAAAACUUUAAAUCAGAGAAACCCUAGUGGUGGAUGUUAUAAAUUAAAGGUCUAGCCUUUCAUUGGUCACUUUCUGGAGUAAGAUCUAAUUGGAGGAUGCUAUGGAAGCAUAUAGAACAAAAACGUCAGUUUCCUCUUUUGUCCUUUUAAGGGGAAAUGAUGUAACUUCCUAUUUUUUGUCGUCUACCGGAGUAUAUUGCUAGCUUAGCCUAUUAUAUACUUUUCACCUGCGCUGAGGUUUUCAAGUGCUGCUCAUUGUUGCUUAUUGAUACCACAUUGUCUUUUGCUCUAUUAGGAAUGGAGUUAUCUGCGUGGAGGACUGACAACGCUCGAUCGGGAUUAUGGAUUGAUCAACAAUAUCCAUCAUGACAUUGGAACUCAUGUCAUCCAUCAC